ensembl:snRNA U1 U1 spliceosomal RNA
AUACUUACCUGGCAGGGGAGAUACCAUGGUCACAAAGGUGUUUUUUCCAGGGUGAGGCUAAUCCAUUGCAUUCUGGGUGUCCUGACCUCUGUUAUUUCCCCAAACACAGGGCAGGAAAUGUAUAAUUUGUGGUAGUGGGGGACUGCGUUCAUACUUUCCCCUG